rnacentral:lncRNA from 1 species
UCUCCUCUCUGCGCUCAGUGUUGUGUGUUUGAUGCCUAGUGUUUCAGGUGUACUUAGGGGAGCAGAAGAGGAAGGCAGACCUCCUCCCUCUUCCCAGAUGCAGACGUCCUGUGGUUAACUUUUAAAUGUCUUUGCCAAAGAACAGACACAGCAAGUGGGGAGCAGGAAGUCUGGGCUUUGUAUGCAAAUUCACCAUCACAUCCGUUCAGAUCCAUCUCCAGAGAGGACUCCGAUUCCUUUCCUGCUGGCGGAGCUCAGGAGCUGACUUCUCUGGGUGGAGGGUCUCCAGCAGGGCCAUGCCACGUGCCUCGUCUCCCUCGGGGACGUCUCUGCAGGCUACUGCUUGGAAGUGCUGGCGUGUUGAACCCAAGAGACUUUGCACCCAGAAGGGCACGAUGUCCUUCCUGCCCGGCUUUCCUCUGAUGGCCGCCGUGUUAUCUGCGAAAGCCGAUCCGCUUCUGACAAGCCAGCUGAAAAUGGCCUGGAAAGAGCCCCUCCUCAAACCCACCGGGCUCUGGGGCCCUGGGUCCUUAUUUUGGUUUGUUCUGGUUACACUGUGUUCUGCUUUUUGAUGACCGUGGUCUGGUGAGAAAAGCUGAUGUUAAUUGAGGUCCUGGACGUUGGUAAAAAGCACCAUGAAACGAAUUCUCUUGUUAACAUCUCGCAAGGACACCGUGGAUGCCUUUGUAGUUUCCCUUGUUCUGCGGAUGGAGAAACCAAGGCUGAGGCCACAGAGCUGGCCAGGCGGUCGGACCCGCCUCUGGCUCCCCGACCCCCGGCCCGCAGGGUGCGAAGCGAGUUGAUGAAUUAACGAGGGGACUGACAGCAGCCCAGUCCUCGCCUGGCAAGUUAGUUCCUCCCUGCCUCCUUUACACUCUGUUUUUAAAGAAAUACAUUUUGGGUGUAUUUGCUACACAUUUUGUUCCUCUUUGUGUUUAUCUUUGUUUCCUAACGAGCCUGGGAUGGAGGCUUAUUCUGUGGGUGAAGCAGCCUGCCUCUGGGUCCCUGGUGCAGCUCCUCCUGAAAUCUUGGGUUUUCGUUCUUGGGAGAGGGGUUGGGGGCCGCAAGGCCAAGGGCACGUGCACAACCUCUGCCCCGCCCCCAAAUGCACAAGUUGAAGCCCUAACUCCCCGAUGGGGUGAUGGCACGUGGACGUGGCUAAUUACCUCUGAGACUGUCUUUGCAGACAGGACACCGUGGGGGGUGGGGGAGGGCGCACGGCCAGUCCUGAGCGUGCUCCUUAUGCUGCAGGUGGAUGGCUUUUGAGGAAUUAGGUAGGGUUUAGUACCUUCUGCUCAACAAACAUUUAUGAAACCCUCCCACGUGCCAGGCGGGUUGCCCAGUGCCAGCUGGACAGGAGACGCUGCGGUCAUUGGUGGCAGGGGCCCCGCCAGCAAGGAUCGGGACCCCGCCAGCAAGGAUCAGAGCCCCCUCAGGCCUGUUAUGCUCCCCAGACCCCCUUGCCCGCCUGCCUUCUGGAGAGCGGCUGGUCACCUGUCCUCUCAGAUAUACCUGGGUGACUUGAAACACUGGUCUGGGCCUUCGGGCAGGGGUGUUUCUGAGCAUCGUCCUAGGGCCUGAGGUCUAACCAUGGGCACUGGGCCGUGAGAGCCACCCCAGUGAGGGUCAGAAAGGCCGCAUCUGAUGCUCAGCUUAACUGCUCAGCAGCUGUGACUCGGGCUAAGCACUGAGUCCGCCUGAACUUCCGUUUCCCCGUGGGUGACGUGCGGCCAGACACCGAUCAGUGGGGUCAUCGUGAUAAAAUAAUGUGGGAGAGCGUUUUGAAAAUGAUGAAAGUCUGUGCACACAGUGAUCGUUGCCACGAUGUCCUCAGGACUCAAAUCUGACCGGACUCCGCAGUCUCAGGCCAGUCCCUGGACCCCAGGCCUGGCGGAGUCAGCCCAGAGGGGGCUGGUGUUUGGGGGAGGAGUGGGCUGUGGACCAGGCUUACCAACCUGCUUUCAUUAUGGACAAGUCACAAGGGCUGGUAGAAAAUGUAAUUUGGUAAAACUUUGUACGGUUUUGCCAAUCCUUCGAGGCUCAACUGAAAUACUGUGACUUUCUCCUUCAGAUCUCAUGUUUCCUAUUAAAUCCUACGAGGGUGAGAACUCAAACCAAAGUAUGGAAAAGCCAGAUGAGCUGCUUGAAAUCCUCGUAGCUUAGAAAAGACUUUGUCCUCAAAACAAAGAUUUUUCUAGACUGUUGGUUAAUGGAGAUAGGGCCUUUGAGUAUUUUGAUAGGGCCCUUGAGUAGUUUGAAGAAAAUUGGCCCCAUAAAUUUGCUUUCCCUCCAACAAAACAGAUUUGCUAACUCGUUUUCCAUAUAAACGAUUCCCAUAAGAGCCAGUACCUUCCAAUUCUCCUGAGAGCAAGCAGAUCCUGCAUCGAUAAAGGAAACGUAGGAUGUUUGCCCCGAGUUGGCAGCUUGGAACACGUGGGGGCUGUUGGCGUAAACUCCCCAAGGGCCUGGGGGCAGGGGGGCCGGGGCUGCUGGGGUCUGGGGCAAGGGGACAGGCACCGCCCCUCAUGGCACCUUUGAAUGUUGUGCAAUGUCCAAAACUCCCCAGUGCUUGGACAGCAGGUGCAGACUUGCUUGGGCUUUGAAGAGCCGAGAAGACAUGGUGAGGGGGCACGCUCCGCUCAGGAGUCAGAGCUGGCCAGCUCCCGGGCACUGAGGAGCGGAGCCGGCCAGGAGCGAGGGUGGGGCCUGGGAUGGACUUCCUUGGAGGGCCCACACUGGGUACCUGGGCUGGGAGGUGACUAUCAGCCUGUCUGCUGGGGUCAGACUCUGCUGUUUCCUCUGGCGCCCCGGCACUCAAG